CAAGCAACCCAACUGCAGAAGAAGGCCAAGAACAAUUUUGAUUUUAUCUAGAAAUUCAAUGUUAAUUUUCGGCUUUGAACUGAUUAAAUAAUAGUUCUAAGUCCACUUAUCAAGGAAUUAAAAUGCGGGGCUGGGCGCAGUGCCUCAUGCUUGUAAUCUCAGCACUGUGGGAGGCCAAAGGGGAUGGAUUGCUUGAGUCCAAGAGUUCAAGACCAGCCAGGGCAGCAUAGCAAGACCCCAUCUCUACAAAAAAUACAAAAAAAAAAUUAGCCAGGCAUGGUGGCACGUGCCUGUAGUCUCAGCUAUUUGGGAGGCUGAGGUGGGAGGAUCACCCAAGCCUGGGAGAUCAAGACUGCAGUGAGCUGAGCUGUGAUAGUGCCACUGCACUCCAGCCUGGGUGACAGAGUGAGACCCUGUCUCCAAUAAAUAAAUAAAUAAAUAAAUAGUGGACAUUUUUAGGAUCUCGGCGGAACACAGUGAAUUGUAUAUUGUAGGGUUUUAUUAUAUAAAUCGGGACUCAAAUUCAAAUGCCUUCAGGGAUCAGGCAGUUUAUAUGAAUCAGAGAUGGCACUAGCAUAGGCAGUAGGAGCGGGGAGGAUUGUGGCAAACUGGAUCAUAGGAUGUCAUACCUAAAUACAUUCAAUUCCAAUGUCUGAAAACACACUGGUAGCCAAACCAAAGAUGCAGCCAGAAGUCACUAAGUUUAUGGUUUACGUUAUAAAUGUAAUUGACUAUGUUAUCUGAAAUCAGAAAAGAGAUAAAGGUAACUCAAUCACAGUACUGUAAAAUGAUUGCUAUCAACUGCUUGACGUAUUUCUUUUGACGGCUCUAGUUUUUUGUUCAUUGGUUUUUUGGUUAGCAUUGUUGUAGCUAUAUUUACUCAUCAGGUGUUUUUCAACAUUACUGUUUCAGGAUCUGCAGUCAAAUUUACCCAGAGGAUCCCAGGCUCUUAGGACUUGACAGGUCACCCACAGUAAAGGUGACAGGAAACAUCAGCACUGGCUGGGAGCGG
rnacentral:lncRNA from 10 species